GCCUACUAUUGCCCUACAAGGGUCAGUGGAGUUUUUACAUCAUCAGUCCAGCUGCUAGGGAGAUAAUCUAUAGGUGCAAAGGAGCACGGUGGUCAGCUUGGUAGAAAUUCAAUAAGACUGAUCUCACAAUAAAAACUACAAUGAACAAUUAAUAGCUAUUUGGUUUAGAGUGCUUCUUUAAUUGAUCCUAAAAAUAGCAUUCUAUACAUUGUGGAACUUUAAUGAAACCUAGGCCACACCAAAC